UACAGAGGUCUCGAGCGUUGUUCGGAUUCAUUGGGCGUAAAGGGUGCGUAGGUGGCGCUGUAAGUCGGGUGUGAAAUCCUGAGGCUUAACCUCGGAACUGCAUUCGAUACUGCGGCGCUUGAGGACUGGAGAGGAGACUGGAAUUUACGGUGUAGCGGUGAAAUGCGUAGAUAUCGUAAGGAAGACCAGUGGCGAAGGCGGGUCUCUGGACAGUUCCUGACGCUGAGGCACGAAGGUCAGGGGGAGCAAACGGG
rnacentral:rRNA from 1 species